rnacentral:rRNA from 1 species
GACAGAGGGUGCUAGCGUUGUUCGGAAUUACUGGGCGUAAAGGGCGCGUAGGCGGUCUGUUAAGUUCGGUGUGAAAUCCCCUGGCUCAACUGGGGAACUGCGCUGGAAACUGGCAGACUCGAGUAACGGAGAGGAGAGUGGAAUUCCCAGUGUAGCGGUGAAAUGCGCAGAUAUCAGGAGGAACACCAAUGGCGAAGGCAGCUCGCUGGGACGUGACUGACGCUGAGACGCGAAAGCGUGGGGAGCAAACAGG